rnacentral:rRNA from 1 species
AGCGAACGCUGGCGGCAGGCCUAACACAUGCAAGUCGAACGAACUCUUCGGAGUUAGUGGCGGACGGGUGAGUAACACGUGGGAACGUGCCUUUUGGUUCGGUAUAACUCAGGGAAACUUGUGCUAAUACCGAAUGUGCCCUUCGGGGGAAAGAUUUAUCGCGAUUAGAGCGGCCCGCGUCUGAUUAGCUAGUUGGUGAGGUAACGGCUCACCAAGGCGACGAUCAGUAGCUGGUCUGAGAGGAGGACCAGCCACACUGGGACUGAGACACGGCCCAGACUCCGACGGGGGGCAGCAGUGGGGAGUCUUGCGCGAUGGGCGAAAGCCUGACGCAGCCGUGCGGCGUGAAUGAGGAAGGGCUUAGGAUUGUAAAAUUCUUUCACCGGGGACGAUAAUGACGGUACCCGGAGAAGAAGCCCCGGCUAACUUCGUG